ensembl:misc_RNA Metazoa_SRP Metazoan signal recognition particle RNA
GCUGGGUGUGGUGGUGCACACCUGUAAUCCCAGCUACUCAGGAGGCUGAGGCAGGAGAAUUGCUUGAGCCUGGGAGGUGGAGGUUGCAGUGAGCUGAGAUCAUGCCACUGCACUCCAGCCUGGCAACAGAGCAAGAAUCUGUCUCAA